rnacentral:rRNA from 1 species
AUUGAACGCUGGCGGCAGGCCUAACACAUGCAAGUCGAACGCGUGGCGGACGGGUGAGUUAUGUCUGGGACACUGCCUGAUGGAUGGGGAUACAUACUGGAAACGGUUGCUACUUACGCCUACAUUCAGCUGUGCCCAGAUGGGAUUAGCUAGGUGGUGGGGUAAAGGCUGACCAAGGCGACGAUCACUAGCUGGUCUGAGAGGAUGACCAGCCACACUGGAACUGAGACACGGUCCAGACUCCUACGGGAGGCAGCAGUGGGGAAUAUUGCACAAUGGGCGCAAGCCUGAUGCAGCCAUGCCGCGUGUAUGAAGAAGGCCUUCGGGUUGUAAAGUACUUUCAGCGGGGAGGCGUUACCCGCAGAAGAAGCACCGGCUAACUCCGUGCCAGCAGCCGCGGUAAUAC